rnacentral:rRNA from 1 species
AGAACGAACGCUGGCGGCAUGCCUAACACAUGCAAGUCGAACGCUCUUGGGGCUUCGGUUCCAAGGGAGUGGCGCACGGGUGAGUAGCGCGUGGGAACCUGCCCUGGAGUGGGGGAUAACCGAGGGAAACUUCGGCUAAUACCGCAUACGCCGGGAAACCGGGAAAGAUUUAUCGCUCUAGGAGGGGCCCGCGUCGGAUUAGGUAGUUGGUGGGGUAACGGCUUACCAAGCCUGUGAUCCGUAGCUGGUCUGAGAGGAUGAUCAGCCACACUGGGACUGAGACACGGCCCAGACUCCUACGGGAGGCAGCAGUGGGGAAUAUUGGACAAUGGGCGCAAGCCUGAUCCAGCAAUGCCGCGUGAGUGAUGAAGGCCUUCGGGUUGUAAAGCUCUUUCGGCGGGGACGAUGAUGACGGUACCCGCAGAAGAAGCCCCGGCUAACUUCGUGCCAGCAGCCGC